ensembl:lncRNA
GUUGGCUCCAGCUCCAUGUGCGGAGACUUAGCCUCCCGGGGAGGCAGGUGGGGGGAACUAUUCUCUCCAUUGACGGAUGAGGAAGCAGAGGCCCAGAGAAGUUAAGCAACCUGCCUGAAAUCUCCCGGCUUCUAAGAGGGCAGUGUCAGGACAAGUUCAGCUGGGCCCCCUGCCUGACCAGACAGUGGAGAAGUCCACCCUCUAGGUCCACUAGCCCCAGGGAGAGAUAUAGGAGUGGGGGUGGGAACAGCAGGGAGGUAUCCUAAUCAAGGGCGAGGCCGGAAAUACAGAAAGCUGGGUUUUUCAGCUGCAGAUUUGACAGGAAUGUGAAGCCGUAGGAACCGGGCGGACUUGCUGCUUUCCUAAUCCACUGCCUUCUGGAAAAGUCGGGAAAGUUGCUGGUCAGACUUUGGAUUCUUGACUAAAAAGAACAUACAACUUCAGAGUUGUAUGAAGAGAUGUAAGGAUUGGGAUCAUGAAAUCAGUUCCUGAAAAUAUCUGUCCACCUGAAAAUGUCUCACUCCACCCUGAACUCCCUCAGGGGAUCUUGAAGAGUUCCUCUUCUUGGGCUCCAAAAUCUCUGUGGAUGGCAACUGCAGCCAUGAACGUGGAAGACAACUGCUUCUUGGCAGGAAAGCAGAGUCAGACAGGACUGGGCAACUGAACAGCAACUUUUCUUUAGGCCAAUUAGAUCAGAGCUCAUUUACAAACUAAUCUCAGCAAUCAGCAAUAUUAUCCAAAGACAAAGACAUAUACCGAGACAUACAUGUAUUCAAAUAGACACAAGAGAUCUCAGCUUUGCUUUCCUAACUUAGUUAUGAAUCAGAUUUCACAAUAUAAAGUUCACUAAUUGUAAAUAACAGUUGGAAUAAGAAAUUUUUUAAAAGACUUCUUUCCCUUUUUUCCCCUCUUCAGUUUCAGGAAUUAGAGAUAGUCUAAAUAAGUGAUUCAGAGAGCUCUGGUCUCAAGGCCAAGGCAUAAGAGGAGCUAUUCCCACAGGGCAAGAAUUCUAAA